rnacentral:lncRNA from 1 species
GCGCCACAUAAGCCUUCUCCAUGCCCUCUCUCUUAUUCAACGCCAAUCUCCACUUAUUUUGUGUGAAAAAAAGCCCUCUCCCAGAUCUCUUCCACGUUCACAAAAGGUCUCCUCUCUUCUUUCUUACAUGGAAGGUGGUUUGGAUCAAAUCUAAAAGGAAUAAGUUUGGAUUUCGAAUUCUAUGAGAUAGAGUUUUAGAAAUCCAAAACUCUUUCAAUUUUGCACCGAAUUUAUCCAAAUUUUUUUUGAAAUUUUUGUGGCUUUUAGGAUAUAUAUUGUGCACCCUUUUCUAGUAAUCCAUGCA